GGAUACGACACCUCCCGGCAUCGGGUGGGUGUGGAAAGUUUUUUCGGUUGGGGAUGGACUCGCGGCCUAUCAGCUUGUUGGUGGGGUAACGGCCUACCAAGGCGACGACGGGUAGCCGGCCUGAGAGGGCGACCGGCCACACUGGGACUGAGACACGGCCCAGACUCCUACGGGAGGCAGCAGUGGGGAAUAUUGCGCAAUGGGCGAAAGCCUGACGCAGCGACGCCGCGUGGGGGAUGACGGCCUUCGGGUUGUAAACCUCUUUCAGCAGGGACGAAGUUGACGUGUACCUGCAGAAGAAGCGCCGGCUAACUACGUGCCAGCAGCCGCGGUAAUACGUAGGGCGCAAGCGUUGUCCGGAAUUAUUGGGCGUAAAGAGCUCGUAGGUGGCUUGUCACGUCGGGUGUGAAAGCUUGGGGCUUAACUCCAGGUCUGCAUUCGAUACGGGCUGGCUAGAGGUAGGUAGGGGAGAACGGAAUUCCUGGUGUAGCGGUGAAAUGCGCAGAUAUCAGGAG
rnacentral:rRNA from 1 species